AUUGAACGCUGGCGGCAGGCCUAACACAUGCAAGUCGAGCGGAGCGGCGGACGGGUGAGUAAUGCCUAGGAAUCUGCCUGGUAGUGGGGGAUAACGUCCGGAAACGGGCGCUAAUACCGCAUACUAUCAGAUGAGCCUAGGUCGGAUUAGCUAGUUGGUGGGGUAAAGGCCUACCAAGGCGACGAUCCGUAACUGGUCUGAGAGGAUGAUCAGUCACACUGGAUCUGAGACACGGUCCGGACUCCAACGGGAGGCAGCAGUGGGAAAUAUUAGACAGUGGGCAAGAGCCUGAUCCUGCCAUGCCGAGUGUGUGAAGAAGGUCUUCGGAUUAUAGAGCGCUUUAAGUUGGGAGGCGUUACCAACAGAGUUAGCACCAGCUAACUUCGUGCCAGCAGCCGCGGUAAUAC
rnacentral:rRNA from 1 species